rnacentral:rRNA from 1 species
CCUACGGGGGGCAGCAGUGGGGAAUAUUGCGCAAUGGGCGAAAGCCUGACGCAGCGACGCCGCGUGAGGGAUGAAGGUCUUCGGAUCGUAAACCUCUGUCAGCAGGGAAGAACGGUCACUGUGCUAAUCAGCAGUGAAUUGACGGUACCUGCAAAGGAAGCACCGGCUAACUCCGUGCCAGCAGCCGCGGUAAUACGGAGGGUGUGAGCGUUAAUCGGAAUUACUGGGCGUAAAGCGCUCGUAGGCGGUAUGUCAAGUCAAGGGUGAAAUCCCCGCGCUAAACGUGGGAACUGCCUUUGAAACUGGCAAACUGGAGUGUGUGAGAGGAUAGUGGAAUUCCAGGUGUAGGAGUGAAAGCCGUAGAUAUCUGGAGGAACAUCAGUGGCGAAGGCGACUAUCUGGCACAUAACUGACGCUGAGGAGCGAAAGCGUGGGUAGCAAACAGGAUUAGAUACCCUAGUAGUC